UACGGAGGGUGCAAGCGUUAUCCGGAUUCACUGGGUUUAAAGGGUGCGCAGGUGGGUUUGCAAGUUUGAUGUGAAAGCCCCGGGCUUAACCCGGGAAUGGCAUUGAAUACUGCAGAUCUGGAGGAUUGGAGGGGGGACUGGAAUUCUUGGUGUAGCAGUGAAAUGCGUAGAUAUCAAGAGGAACACCAGUGGCGAAGGCGAGUCCCUGGACAAUUCCUGACACUGAGGCACGAAAGCUAGGGGAGCAAACAGG
rnacentral:rRNA from 1 species